GCUGUCGCCGAGCGUCGGAGCCCGAGGGGCCGCGGCCGCGCGCCGCGGGGGGAGGAGACGGUCUGGAGUCCCCCCGCUGCGCCGGAGAUGGGGAGACGGAGAACUGCAGCGCCCCUUGGGGCUUCUGAGGCGCCCAGGUAACCUCACCUGGCCGCCAGUCUCCCGCAGGAGGAACAGACACAUUGGUUCUACACCGAACCUAUUAACAGCUCAACUUCAAAUAUUUGAGGUGGGAUUGCAGUUCACUAAGGUUAUAUGAGCCAGCUUGGUUACGCAAAUGUGAAAAUGCACAUUUUCCAGCCUGUGUCAAGGUGGAAACAUCAGGGCAGAAGAACAUAACUGAUAAUAGCUGGUCACACCUAAGAAGCCAGGAAGCAGAGAGAAAUGGAGACCAGCCUACGAGGACACAUUCCUAGUGACCUUCUUCCCAACUUUGGGUUUCCACCAAUUCACAAGAACACCAUUAAUUAUGAAUUCAUCAACAAAUCAAUUCAUCAAUUAAGUUAAAGCUCCCAUGAUGCAAUCACUUCCCUACAUCCUCCCGUCUGAACAUCCUCGCCAUUGAGAACCAAGCCUUCAACACAUGAGUCUGGGCACAAUAAGUCACAUUGAAUCCAUUGAAGAUGUAAAUUUUAAUGGUUGAAAAUGACUAGCAUAUUAUGUCUGUGAAAUUCAGUAAAGGGGAAUAUGGAAGAGAACGUGUACUAAAACUAAGGGUUCUAGAACGCAUCUGUGCUCUUCCUUUCAAUCUGGAGAGUGAGACAAGGAAGUCUUAAGUUCAAGGCCAGCCUGGGCUAUGUAGUGUAUGCUACCAUUGGCUAUAUAAUUUGACUCCAGCAUUACAAGAAGUAGAGUAAAUAAAAGAUAAAAAAAAUGACUAUAGAAGUAUCAAGAUAUUACGACUCAUUCAUAUGAUUUCUGCAAUUGAUUUAGUAUGGCAUAUGAUUUAGUAAUCAAAGUGGAUGAAGAUGAUAUAUAUGCAUUAAUAAGAAUAAGUAUGUGAGACUAAACACAGAAUGUCCACCAGACACUGGGCAGUAAUUAGAUUCAACUCUUGUAAAAAUGUUCAACAGGAAGAAAAAAAAACUAUAACUUUGCUUUAUACUUGGAUAGUUACUUUCAGUCAUACAGGUAUGGAAUAAAAUGAAAGGAAAAUGUAGAUGGGAUCUGAAGGCCAGCCUUCUAUUAUACUAUUAAAUUGUAGUGCAGG
ensembl:processed_transcript A530058N18Rik RIKEN cDNA A530058N18 gene